AGUGUGACAGGGCUAUCCCGAGUGCCAUCCGCUGAGGAAGGCUUUUACCCAGUCUAGAAAGCUGGGGGAAUAAGGAGAGGGCAAGUCUGGUGUCAGCCGCCGCGGUAAUACCAGCUCUCCGAGUGGUGUGGAUGUUUAUUGGGCCUAAAGCAUCCGUAGCUGGCUAAGUCAGUCCCUUGUUAAAUCCACCGAAUUAAUCGUUGGAUUGCGGGGGAUACUGCUUGGCUAGGGGACGAGAGAGGCAGACGGUAUUUUCGGGGUAGGGGUGAAAUCCUAUAAUCCCGGGAAGACCACCAGUGGCGAAGGCUGUCUGCUAGAACGCGCCCGACGGUGAGGGAUGAAAGCUGGGGGAGCGAACCGGAUUAGAUACCCGGGUAGUCCCAGCUGUAAACGAUGCAGGCUAGGUGUUUGGACGGCCACGUGCCGUUCUAGUGCCGCAGGGAAGCUGUUAAGCCUGCCGCCUGGGGAGUACGAUCGCAAGAUUGAAACUUAAAGGAAUUGGCGGGGGAGCAC
rnacentral:rRNA from 1 species